GCGGCGGGCGGCGGGCGGCGGGCGGGGGUCCCCGGGGCGGGGGCGGGGGCGGGGGGGGCGGGCUCCCGGGGCCCCGGGGGGCGAGGCGCGGCGCGGCGCCCCCUUUACCUGCGGCUCCGGCUCCUCGGCCAUUUCCUCGCUCGGCGGCGGCCGGGACUGAACUGACACCACACGAGCGAGCCGAGAUGCUGCCUGCCACACACAGCCUUCUCAGAUCUCAUAACAAAACAAAACAAAACAAAAAGCCCUCCUAAUUUGCUACAUUUAACAUUUAUUGGGAUCAUCUUUGGAGACUUAGCCUUCAUUAGAAGAACAAUGCGAUAUGAUCCUCCUAUUUCACAAGUUAUUUUAUGUUACUGUGGAACUCUUACAAGAAAGACAGUUUGGAAACUGCACGUAAAUCCCUGGAGCUGAAAUGGAGCCAACAUAGAUACUCGACUUAAAAAGAAUUCAGUGUUCAGGGCAGGAAAACCCGAAAACUGCAAGUGAGGAGUCAGCAGGAAAAGAAAAUGAAAAAGUUAGGCAAACCUGCCAGCUCUUGCUAACUACAAAGGACAUUUGAGAAGGAAACGGGGACAGCCCUUUUAACACGACUGAAUGCAUUAAAUUAAGUGGGGAUCACCAACAAGUCCAGGGAAUGCUACACUCCUCUC
rnacentral:lncRNA from 1 species